AUGUCAGUUUCCACUCCAGCUUUCACCAGGGAAGGUCGUGGCCGGGGAGCAUAAAAUGCUGUCGCACUCCAGCGACAGUCCGGAACCUGAGCGUGAAUUUACAACCAUGCCCCGACACAGAGAAAGGAAGUCAAACAGAACUCAUGACCAGACAUCCCCAGGCAGAAGACACGGGCGACUUCUCUGUGCAGAGAUGAUUUGUCGGCUACUUAAAUAUGGAAAGUGUUUCAGGGGACUAGAGAAAUUGCAAUAGGGAACUCAGCUCUUAUGUUAUGACACCAAACACAAUUCUUUCCAGUUUUAACUCCAAGAAGCCUCUUUAAAAUAUCAGCACCAAUGAGGAACCCUGAAUCUUGUCUCUUUUGUCACAUUUUAGAAUAUAAGAUUCUCACUUGCCUUUUUCUCCUUCCCAUUGACUCAGCAAGUAUUUAAUGAGUACCUACUAUGUGCUCUCAAAUAUCAGCAUCCACAGAACAGCAAGGACUUUGCUUUCAUGGAGUUUCCUUCCUAGCUGGGGAGGGGAGGGGAGGUGCUGGCUUUGAACUAGCUUGGUGAACGCGUGUUCCAGAUAAAGUCAAGUCUCCAUGUGGCAUUCCAGAUUUACACAGGAUAAAUCGGGAUGUGAUAAUUUGCUUCAAAAAAAGAUUCAAUAUUUUACUAAAAAAAAAAAAUUCACAGAAGGAUUCCCUUUAAAUCUAUAAAACUCCUGUAGCCCUAUCACCACCCACCAAAUCGUUUUAUUUAUUCUGAAAUUUUGAAUACUCCAGUUACUUUUAAAUGGAGUGUCCCUCCAUCGUUCCAGAGGACAUCCCCCGGGGACCACCUCAGGCAGAGAGUCACUUCCCCUGGGAGGAGCACACUGCAUGGAAGCCCUGCCAAAGACAGGGCCACACUCAACAGGGCCUUGGGAGGGGCUGCUCCCCAGAAGGUGACGGGAAGGUCUGGAAAAGGCACCUUGGGGACUAUAUUCUUGAUGGCCUCCCUAGAAUCUCUGUGAACCCUCGAAUCCAGGGCAAAGAAAAAUGUAGAGUCAGGACAGAUUUUUCUGUUAUUUUUCUUGAUGUUUCCCAUUGACAGGAAUGAGGACAAAAGAGAAAAAAAACAAGAUCAAUGAACACAGUUUUAAAAACCAAAACCUGGUGAGGUGAAGAUGUCAUUUUUUUUUCUUUCCUGACACUCUCAGC
rnacentral:lncRNA from 1 species